AACCUUGCGCAGUGGCAAUAUCGUAACCAAUGGUCUUCUGAGGUGCGAUUAUUGCUAGUUGGAAUCUUUUGCCUCGAGAUCCAUACUUUUACUACUUAUGCAGUAGCGUAAUAUUUCAUCUAAAGUCAUUCAUGAC
rnacentral:snRNA from 1 species